GUGUAUUCUGAUAUGAGGAGAAUUUCUCUUUUGGUCUUGGACAUAUUCCUUAGACUGACAUGUCACUGGGCCAAUAUUUGAGUGAAUCUCCUGUUUCUGGAAUUAUCAAGAAGACUACAGAAAAUUAUAGGAGUGACUCCGAAAUGCUAUGGAAGAGAUUCCUGCAUUGUCAUGCAUAAAGGCAGGUGAGAGUGAGCCUGGUGAGGUGGCCUCUUAGGGCCCCUUCCAAACACAAGAUUCAUUAUUUGAGGUACAAUUGAAAGCUUUGUCUUCUAUAAGAAUAUCUCUCAAUAUCUGGUCAAAAUGCUUGAAAUACCCACAUGUAUUCAUUUUGUUUGUGCAAAUCCUGACUUAUUUCAAAACAUUUUUACUUCAGAAAUUUCUAUCCUUAUUAAGUGGGGCAUUACUGUCACUUCCUGAAGGCCUGGUUUAAAAGCAAGCAUGAUUAUAUAUCUCCUUAAUGAUGUCAUUUGACCCCAUACAACGACCUAUGUGAAAGAAGUAGAUGAGAUAUUAUUCCUGUUUUACAGAUGAGGAAACUCAUUUCAGAGGGACAAUGCUACCUGGAGAAAGGAAAUAGGGCUCAUUAAGAUAUCAUGGCACAUUAAUAUGAACACAUGAAUUUCCUCAUCAGAGGAGCUGCAGGCUUGUGUUGGUCCAUUGUGUUGGACAAACCACAAAAUGGACUAACCCAAUAAAGCUGCUGGGACUGGACACAGGAGCAUCUUUACGGAUAUGAAAG
rnacentral:lncRNA from 1 species